rnacentral:rRNA from 1 species
UACGGGGGGGGGCAAGCGUUGUUCGGAAUUACUGGGCGUAAAGGGCUCGUAGGCGGCCAACUAAGUCAGACGUGAAAUCCCUCGGCUUAACCGGGGAACUGCAUCUGAUACUGGAUGGCUUGAGUUCGGGAGAGGGAUGCGGAAUUCCAGGUGUAGCGGUGAAAUUCGUAGAUAUUCGGAGGAACACCAGUGGCGAAGGCGGCUCACUGGUCCAUUACUGACGCUGAGGUGCGAAAGCGUGGGGAGCAAACAGG